CGGCAGCACAGUAAGAGCUUGCUCUUAUGGGUGGCGAGUGGCGGACGGGUGAGGAAUACAUCGGAAUCUACCUUUUCGUGGGGGAUAACGUAGGGAAACUUACGCUAAUACCGCAUACGACCUUCGGGUGAAAGCAGGGGACCUUCGGGCCUUGCGCGGAUAGAUGAGCCGAUGUCGGAUUAGCUAGUUGGCGGGGUAAAGGCCCACCAAGGCGACGAUCCGUAGCUGGUCUGAGAGGAUGAUCAGCCACACUGGAACUGAGACACGGUCCAGACUCCUACGGGAGGCAGCAGUGGGGAAUAUUGGACAAUGGGCGCAAGCCUGAUCCAGCCAUACCGCGUGGGUGAAGAAGGCCUUCGGGUUGUAAAGCCCUUUUGUUGGGAAAGAAAAGCAGUCGGCUAAUACCCGGUUGUUCUGACGGUACCCAAAGAAUAAGCACCGGCUAACUUCGUG
rnacentral:rRNA from 1 species